UACGUAGGUGGCAAGCGUUGUCCGGAUUUACUGGGCGUAAAGAGCGCGCAGGCGGUCGGAUAAGUCGAAUGUGAAAGCCCCCGGCUCAACUGGGGAGGGUCAUUCGAUACUGUUCGACUCGAAGGCAGGAGAGGGAAGUGGAAUUCCCGGUGUAGUGGUGAAAUGCGUAGAUAUCGGGGAGGAACACCAGUGGCGAAGGCGACUUCCUGGCCUGUUCUUUGACGCUGAGGCAC
rnacentral:rRNA from 1 species